AGAGAGAGAGAGAGAGAGAGAGAGAGAGAGAGAGAGAAGGUGGCUCAAUCGAUCGAUGGCCGCGAAGCGGCCCGAGGAAAAAAAAUUUGGAGGGUGUUUUUUGUGGUGAAGGAGGCGACGCAAAAGAGGGCGACGCGAACCGACAGAGAGGCGCGAACCGAGGGCGGCGCCGCCGACGGCGAAUCGAGGCCGCCAGUUUUUUUCUGGAUGGGCCGCCUUUGCAGAUAUGCAUGGGAAAAAGACGCAAGAAAACCCGAAAAGGAAAAGGGGGACGCCAAGAAGCGCCCAAGAUCCGAGGAAGGAAUGGGUCGGCGACGGAGCGACGAAGCAACGGCGACAACAACACGGACCGUGUUUGUCGGCGAGGCGGCAAAAAUGUGCGACGACAGAAAGGCCGGCCGGCCGGCGUGCGCGCGCCGGCAGCAACAAGACCCCCCCCCCUCCAAAGGGGUCGCCAAAGUUGCGAGGAACCAGGAUAUAUCUAUGAAAAAACCAGGAUAAAUCCAGGCAUUUGCGAAUCGAAAAACCGGGAUAAAUCGGGGCACGAAAAGGCGUCUUGCUUUUUUG
rnacentral:lncRNA from 1 species